CACAGUUACUGUUAGCAACUUACUUCGAUACUAGGGGAAAAAAUCUAUGUUUAUCAGGUGUCACAAGGGCUUGGUUGGACAAACAGUGUCGAGGGAUGAGGCCAGUAUGGCAAGAGAAAGGAAAGUCAGAGCUCAUCUCUCUGUUCUGUUUAACUAUAAAAAGGUCCAAUUCAAAUAGCCUAGAAGAGACAACACAGCUGGCCCAAAGCUCAUCAGGCAAUGUCCCCUGCUGAUUAAUGACCUUUCCAUCGCAACAGGAGCCGCCAGGAAGAUGUGCAAUUUGCUAAGAGAACCUUUAGCACAGUGUCCUUAGCACAUUCAACAUGCAACUGUUGUCUAAAUGUGCAAUUACAGGGCAAAGGCACAACAGAGAGAUGCAGAUCUGGCUUGACAACACCAGGUCCUUCUGGGUUCUAUUUGAAAGAUGUUUGGAAGUCUUUUGUAUGCAAACCCCAGCAGUUAAAUUGUACACGAAUGGGAAAUUGUCUUAAAAAUAAGAUUGUCUACAGGAUGGGAGACUCCACCACAAGGCAGUGGUUUGAGUAUUUAUAAAGAAAAGUGCCAGUCAAGUUGUUCAGUGACAUAAAUGACUUUGAUUUGGGGGUGGGUACUUUUUUCUCUCUUAAAAAAUUGUCAUAUUGUUGAAGAAUUGAUAGCAUGAAUGUAUAAAAUUAACUAAAUUAGAAAUCAACCGAGAUG